UGUCAGAACCUCUCAAAAAACACGUUUACUCUCUACUUCUGUGUUCAGAGAGUGAAUGCAUUAUUUGAAAAAGAAAUUCCUCUAAAACAUGCAGCUCUAUUUUGACCCAGACUGUUUUUGUUUUUUUUAACAAUGGCCCUUUAAGGAAAUCAAUUUUUAAUUCCAACUUGGGUUUCAUUUUCAUAGCUUUGGUUGUAGGUUUAAUGUGUUAUAAUACUGUACUCACCAAACCGA